rnacentral:lncRNA from 1 species
GCGGAAAGCGAGCCCGGGCGCUGCCGGGGAGCGAGGGGCGCAUCCGAUGGCAGACGGGGCGACAGCGGAGCGUGAGGACCGGCGGGGAGCAACGGCUUCGCUGAGAUUGCCUUAAAAUCCGGCCAAGCCGCGCGCGGGCUCCGUGGGUUGCUCUGGUCUGAUUGCGACCUCCGGAACAAACCUCACCCCCACCUUUAUUUUUAUUUUUAUUUUAUUUUUCCUCCGCUUUUAAACGAAGCUCACUGGGUCCCAGGGCUUUAAAGCGGCCGGGCAGUUGGGAUCUCCUCCCUCUCCGCACCACAUGCACGGAGAUCCCCACCGAAAGGAAGGUCACGCUUUUGGGGAGGAACCCGUCGCUUCGCGAGCGAUCCCCCCUCCGCCCCGCGGGAUGACGUUUUCGCAUGCAUUUGCUUUCCUCCUUUAUUUUUUUCCCUUUUUCCCCCUCUUUUUUUUUUUCUUUCCUCUCCUUCCCUUGCCAAAAGCAUCAAGUCGCGGGCUGCAGGCUCCCAACCUUCCUCCCGCCCUGAACUGAGCCCCAUUCAUUCCGCCGGCUCUCCGCGGGGCCGGGAAGGAAAACAGCCAGCGGAGCCCGGGGAAGGGAAAGGAGGCUCGGACGGGUUACGGCGAGGGGGCAACCGCUCGACGAAGCUCACCCUCCCGCCGCCUCCGGGAUUCGGCACCGAAGCUGCCUUCGGCCUUGGGGAGAAGGAAGCAGGCAUGCCGGCGACCCGGCCCGAGCCUCCCCUUCCAAGAACGGCUCCUCGCCCGGGAUGGCGAUUCCUUUUUUACGGCUCUCCUUACACUGUCAGCGUCUUUCCGCAACCCCCACGCGAGCUUCCCUGCCAGAAGAGCCGUUCACCCCCACCUGGCCCGCAUCCCAAAUUCCCUCGUGCGCCGAUAGCAAUCCGCCUUGCUGAAUCCUACCCUUCUGGCUUGGAGAAGGGGACGGGACCUCCCUUCCCCGGCCCUGAAACCGCCGCGCCGAGUCCGGCUGAAGGCUACUACCAAGUUGGCAUCAGCUGCGCUUCGCUGGUGGCCAAAGCGACCUCCUCGAG